AACGAACGCUGGCGGCAUGCCUAACACAUGCAAGUCGAACGAGACCUUCGGGUCUAGUGGCGCACGGGUGCGUAACGCGUGGGAACCUGCCCUUAGGUUCGGAAUAACUCCCCGAAAGGGGUGCUAAUACCGGAUAAUGUCUUCGGACCAAAGAUUUAUCGCCUUUGGAUGGGCCCGCGUUGGAUUAGCUAGUUGGUAGGGUAAAAGCCUACCAAGGCGACGAUCCAUAGCUGGUCUGAGAGGAUGAUCAGCCACACUGGGACUGAGACACGGCCCAGACUCCUACGGGAGGGAGCAGUGGGGAAUAUUGGACAAUGGGCGAAAGCCUGAUCCAGCAAUGCCGCGUGAGUGAUGAAGGCCUUAGGGUUGUAAAGCUCUUUUACCCAGGAUGAUAAUGACAGUACCGGGAGAAUAAGCUCCGACUAACUCCGUG
rnacentral:rRNA from 1 species